rnacentral:misc_RNA from 1 species
AGUCAUCAACCCCUCCCGUUUGCGCGGGAUAGGGGAUUGGAGUUGGGGGCCUGCUGCCGUGAGGCGGCUCCCCUCAAAUGCAUCGGUUGGACCUGCGGGUCGAACUCGACUGGGCGUUGUACCAUCCUCGCUCGACCGAGAAGUUCCCCUUUUGGUGUCCUCCCACGACUCGCCUGUGGAGCGGCAGUCAAUGUACUUUGAAA